rfam:Otolemur garnettii contig168143, whole genome shotgun sequence.
GCACUCACUUCAGCAACACAUAUACUCAAAUUCCAAUUUUGAUACAAAGAAGAUUAGCAUGGCCCCUGUGAAAGGAUGACACACAGAUUCAUGAAGCCGUCUUUGGCUGU